CAGCAGCCGCGGUAAUACGUAGGUGGCAAGCGUUGUCCGGAAUUAUUGGGCGUAAAGGGCUCGCAGGCGGUUUCUUAAGUCUGAUGUGAAAGCCCCCGGCUCAACCGGGGAGGGUCAUUGGAAACUGGGAAACUUGAGUGCAGAAGAGGAGAGUGGAAUUCCACGUGUAGCGGUGAGAUGCGUAGAGAUGUGGAGGAACACCAGUGGCGAAGGCGACUCUCUGGUCUGUAACUGACGCUGAGGAGCGAAAGCGUGGGGAGCGAACAGGAUUAGAUACCCCAGUAGUCCCUGUCUCUUAUAC
rnacentral:rRNA from 1 species